CCGCCUCCGCCCGCGCAGCCCGGCAGUGUGUGGUCCUGCUGCCCGCGCCGCCCCGCCUGUUCCUCUUCAGAGCUGUCCUGGGCUCCUUCCUUCCAAAGCUUACCCUAAUCCUUUGGACAGAGCGCCCAGCCCCUCAGGGCAUUGCUGCUUUUCACCUGCUGGCUGCAUCCACCUCUGACCUGGACCCCUUUUGGCCUGUGCAAUUCUGCUCUAUCUCUGAGUCACUGGCUCUGCACAGCUUGUGUUUCUCUCUGCCUCAGUUUACACUCUUAGGCCUCCUGUGCCCUUUACCCUGAGCCCUUCCCUUUCCUCUUCAAGCCUACAUCCUAGCACCAGAGUAAGAGGCUUGAAGGAGAGGCAGGAGGUGGUGGUAACAAGUGCAUGGUUGGAAGAGGUGACUUCUUCUCUGUAUCCUUUCGGCAUAGAAAGGAUUGGCCUGUUCAUUCAGGACCAUCAGACGGCUCCUGUCCAGAAGUCCUGAGAUUGACAGAUGUGGGUCCAUCAGCCCUGAGUGACCAGAACAUGGAACUUGUCUUUACCUGGUAUCAUGGAAUACCAAGGAGCUGGCUUCAGAAGACAUGCUUCGGACACAUUUAGUGAUGAAUCUUAUCAGCCUCAGGGAUGAGAGAGUCUUCAGUUAAAUAAGGCCCUGUUCUGUGGAGCUGGGCUUAGACAACUAGGCCUUAUUUUUCCCAUGUGUAAGACAUGGAGCUAGAAUCCGUGAACUUCAAAGGUCCUUUAGAGGUGGGCGAAAGAAAGCCUAGGAGGCCCUGUGCCGGGAACUGGAGUAGCCCAGCCCACAGAGUCCUGAGUGCUGCUCCUACCCCACCCCACGCCACACACAGUUCCUCUUCCUCUCGGUACUCCGUAUUGCGGCCACUUCUGCAAGGCUGGGCUGCUUGAACUCCGUGUUGGAUUGGGCUUCUUCCUCAGAAGACAAUUUAUGGCGACAUGUCGGAGACUCUGUUUUAAUGAAGUUGCAAAAGCUCCUCAGUCUCAGUCGUCUCCGCCACUAGGUAGGAGCUCGGACUGUCUAGCCCUAGUCCGUCCGAUGCUUGGAUGGAGUUUCCUCUCCUGCCUUGAGAGAGGGUCAGGUCAUAAGACCCUCAUUGCCAACAGAUGAAGCUGUGGACCAUGGUUUAGACUCCAAUAUCAAGGCAGACUGGAACAGGGCCAGGGUGCCUGCAACCUCCUUGUCCCUUUCUCCUGGACACCUCUGUCCUCCACUCUAAGCCUCGUAGCUAUCUCUUACUGCUAUAGACCCUUCUCCUGGGAGGUCUCAAACUUUCAGAGAUGAGAGACUUUUAUCAUGGACCCAAGCAAAC
rnacentral:lncRNA from 1 species